GGAAUAUUGCGCAAUGGGCGGAAGCCUGACGCAGCGACGCCGCGUGGGGGAUGACGGCCUUCGGGUUGUAAACCUCUUUCGCCCUCGACGAAGGCCUUCGGGGUGACGGUAGGGGGAGAAGAAGCACCGGCCAACUACGUGCCAGCAGCCGCGGUAAUACGUAGGGUGCGAGCGUUGUCCGGAAUUAUUGGGCGUAAAGAGCUCGUAGGCGGUGUGUCGCGUCGGUCGUGAAAACUUGGGGCUUAACCCUGAGCUUGCGGUCGAUACGGGCAUCACUUGAGUUCGGCAGGGGAGACUGGAAUUCCUGGUGUAGCGGUGAAAUGCGCAGAUAUCAGGAGGAACACCGGUGGCGAAGGCGGGUCUCUGGGCCGAUACUGACGCUG
rnacentral:rRNA from 1 species